GACGAACGCUGGCGGCGUGGAUAAGGCAUGCAAGUCGAACGAUCUCGCAAGAGAUAGUGGCAGAAGGGUUAAUAACACGUGGGUAAUCUACCCUCGGGGCAGGGAUAACCUCCCGAAAGGGGGGCUAAUACCAAAUGGCACAACUUCUUCGCAUGAAGGGGUUGUCAAAGGUGGCUCGCAAGGGCUGCCGCCUGAGGAUGAGCCUGCGCCCUAUCAGCUAGUUGGUGAGGUAACGGCCCACCAAGGCUAUUGACGGGUAGCUGGUCUAAGAGGACGGCCAGCAACACUGGGACUGAGACACUGCCCAGACUCCUACGGGAGGCUGCAGUCGAGGAUCUUUAUCAAUGCCCGAAAGGGUGAAUAUGCGACGCCGCGUGCAGGAUGAAGGCCUUCGGGUCGUAAACUGCUGUCAGAGGUGAGGAAAGCCAUGUGUUAACAGCACGUGGUCUUGACGUUAACCUCAAAGGAAGCCACGGCUAACUCUGUGCC
rnacentral:rRNA from 1 species